UACGAACUGUGCAACCGUUAUUCGGAAUCACUGGGCUUAAAGGGUGCGUAGGCGGCCAUUUAAGUAGGGUGUGAAAGCCCCCGGCUCAACCGGGGAAUUGCGCCCUAAACUGGAUGGCUCGAGUGAGAUAGAGGUGUGUGGAACUUCCGGUGGAGCGGUGAAAUGUGUUGAUAUCGGAAGGAACGCCGGUGGCGAAAGCGACACACUGGGUCUCAACUGACGCUGAGGCACGAAAGCCAGGGGAGCGAACGGG
rnacentral:rRNA from 1 species